rnacentral:rRNA from 1 species
AUUGAACGCUGGCGGCAGGCCUAACACAUGCAAGUCGAACGGUAACAGGAAGAAGCUUGCUUCUUUGCUGACGAGUGGCGGACGGGUGAGUAAUGUCUGGGAAACUGCCUGAUGGAGGGGGAUAACUACUGGAAACGGUAGCUAAUACCGCAUAAUGUCGCAAGACCAAAGAGGGGGACCUUCGGGCCUCUUGCCAUCGGAUGUGCCCAGAUGGGGUUAGCUAGUAGGUGGGGUAACGGCUCACCUAGGCGACGAUCCCUAGCUGGUCUGAGAGGAUGACCAGCCACACUGGAACUGAGAUACGGUCCAGACUCCUACGGGAGGCAGCAGUGGGGAAUAUUGCACAAUGGGCGCAAGCCUGAUGCAGCUAUGCCGCGUGUAUGAAGAAGGCCUUCGGGUUGUAAAGUACUUUCAGCGGGGAGGAAGGGAGUAAAGUUAAUACCUUUGCUCAUUGACGUUACCCGCAGAAGAAGCACCGGCUAACUCCGUG